GGGGUCUUGGCACAGUGGUAGCACGCAUGCUUCGCACCGUUGUUGGUGUAUGCAUGAGGUCGUGAGUUCAAUCCUCACAGUCUCCA